GACGAACGCUGGCGGCGUGCUUAACACAUGCAAGUCGAACGGAAAGGCCCUGCUUUUGUGGGGUGCUCGAGUGGCGAACGGGUGAGUAACGCGUGAGUAACCUGCCCUUGACUUUGGGAUAACUUCAGGAAACUGGGGCUAAUACCGGCUAGGAGCUCCUGCUGCAUGGUGGGGGUUGGAAAGUUUCGGCGGUUGGGGAUGGACUCGCGGCUUAUCAGCUUGUUGGUGGGGUAGUGGCUUACCAAGGCUUUGACGGGUAGCCGGCCUGAGAGGGUGACCGGCCACAUUGGGACUGAGAUACGGCCCAGACUCCUACGGGAGGCAGCAGUGGGGAAUAUUGCACAAUGGGCGGAAGCCUGAUGCAGCAACGCCGCGUGCGGGAUGACGGCCUUCGGGUUGGAAACCGCUUUCGCCUGUGACGAAGCGUGAGUGACGGUAAUGGGUAAAGAAGCACCGGCUAACUACGU
rnacentral:rRNA from 1 species